rnacentral:rRNA from 1 species
UACGUAGGGUGCAAGCGUUGUCCGGGAAUUAUUGGGCGUAAAGAGCUCGUAGGCGGUCUGUCGCGUCGGCUGUGAAAUCCCGAGGCUCAACCUCGGGUCUGCAGUCGAUACGGGCAAACUAGAGUAUUGCAGGGGAGACUGGAAUUCCUGGUGUAGCGGUGAAAUGCGCAGAUAUCAGGAGGAACACCGGUGGCGAAGGCGGGGUCUCUGGGCAAUAACUGACGCUGAGGAGCGAAAGCGUGGGGAGCGAACAGG